UAAGCUUUAAGGAAUCGUUAAGAUCAUUUGGGACUUGGAUGGAAAGGAAGAGCUGAGCUGCUAAAAGCUGUGAAAAUGACCGAACUAUUUCCAGAUGUUUGUCUGAGAUGAGCCCUUGUAAUUGAAUCAUGUCUUUGCAUGGUCCAUGAUUACAUUACUGUUGAAUUCAUGCAUAAUGACAUUACUCUCAAUAAGCUCCAUCAAGCCACUGGGCAAGAGGAAUCUUUGCCACCACGAUUGGCAGGAACUUUCUGAACUAUCAGGGCACAGCUGUCACCUGCAGCUCCAUAAAAUCUCUGGACAAGAGGAGGCCGGCAUUGGGGACAUAUCAGGGUGCUUGGAAUACUGCUCUUAAGAAUUUGGACAGGACAAGCUCCAGAGGGGCAAAGUUGGAGAAAGGGCCCAGCUGAGCACCAUAGAAGAGUUGGAGAAGUGACUUUGCUUCAAAUAAUUUGAGGGCUGCAGUAAUGGAAGACUUGAAGAUGUGUUUGAAAUUGCAAAGAACAUACUGCUUUCAAGGUAACUUCAGAAUAGAAGGAAUCUCCAAACUGGAGGAGGAAACCUAUGGCUGAAAUAAAGGCCGGCUGGCCGGCAGGGGUGAAAUACACCCUAGAAGAUCAGGAUCAGCUCAGAUGGCCCUUCUGUCGGUCCCUGAUUUCCGAGAUGUUUGGGGCUCUAGGACCCGUGAAAGGGCCUUUUCGGUUGCUGCCCUGCUCCUUUGGAAUUCUCUUCCCCUACAGAUCCGGCUAGCACCUUCCUUACCGAUCUUCAAAUCGCUAUUGAAGACUUUACUUUUUCACCAGGCCUUUGCCCUGUAGUUCAUUUUUCUGUUUUCUGGUAGUUACUUUAGUUCUUUAAUAAUUUUUAAUUAUUAAUGUAAUGUAAUUUUUAAUGUUGCCUGUUUGCCUGCUGUACAUCGCCCAGAGUCUUCAGA